rnacentral:rRNA from 1 species
AUUGAACGCUGGCGGCAUGCCUUACACAUGCAAGUCGAACGGCAGCACGGGUGCUUGCCCCUGGUGGCGAGUGGCGAACGGGUGAGUAAUACAUCGGAACAUGUCCUGGAGUGGGGGAUAGCCCGGCGAAAGCCGGAUUAAUACCGCAUACGAUCUACGGAUGAAAGCGGGGGACCUUCGGGCCUCGCGCUAUGGGGUUGGCCGAUGGCUGAUUAGCUAGUUGGUGGGGUAAAGGCCUACCAAGGCGACGAUCAGUAGCUGGUCUGAGAGGACGACCAGCCACACUGGGACUGAGACACGGCCCAGACUCCUACGGGAGGCAGCAGUGGGGAAUUUUGGACAAUGGGCGAAAGCCUGAUCCAGCAAUGCCGCGUGUGUGAAGAAGGCCUUCGGGUUGUAAAGCACUUUUGUCCGGAAAGAAAUCCUUGGCCCUAAUACGGUCGGGGGAUGACGGUACCGGCAGAAUAAGCACCGGCUAACUACGUG